rnacentral:rRNA from 1 species
CCUACGGGAGGCAGCAGUGAGGAAUAUUGGUCAAUGGCCGGGAGGCUGAACCAGCCAAGUCGCGUGAGGGAAGACGGCCCUACGGGUUGUAAACCUCUUUUGUCAGGGAGCAAAGUGCAGGUCGGAAACUGCUGUGAAAGUACCUGAAGAAAAAGCAUCGGCUAACUCCGUGCCAGCAGCCGCGGUAAUACGGAGGAUGCGAGCGUUAUCCGGAUUUAUUGGGUUUAAAGGGUGCGCAGGCGGAGGCACAAGUCAGUGGUAAAAUCGAGCGGCUCAACCCCGCUACUCCGUUUAACAUGUGUCCCGUGAGUGCGCGAAGGGUAGGGGGAAUGCGGGGGGUAGGGGUGAAAUGCAUAGAU